AUUGAACGCUGGCGGCAUGCUUUACACAUGCAAGUCGAACGGUAACAGGCCGCAAGGUGCUGACGAGUGGCGAACGGGUGAGUAAUGCAUCGGAACGUGCCCAGUCGUGGGGGGUAACGCAGCGAACGCUGUGCUAAUACCGCAUACGAUCUAUGGAUGAAAGCGGGGGACCGUAAGGCCUCGCGCGAUCGGAGCGGCCGAUGUCAGAUUAGGUAGUUGGUGGGGUAAAGGCCUACCAAGCCGACGAUCUGUAGCUGGUCUGAGAGGACGACCAGCCAGACUGGGACUGAGACACGGCCCAGACUCCUACGGGAGGCAGCAGUGGGGAAGUUUGGACAAUGGGCGCAAGCCUGAUCCAGCAAUGCCGCGUGCAGGAAGAAGGCCUUCGGGUUGUAAACUGCUUUUGUACGGAACGAAACGGUCUGGGUUAAUACCCUGGGCUAAUGACGGUACCGUAAGAAUAAGCACCGGCUAACUACGUGCCAGCUGCCGCAGUAAUAC
rnacentral:rRNA from 1 species